rnacentral:rRNA from 1 species
GUACGGGAGGCAGCAGUGGGGAAUCUUGCGCAAUGGGCGAAAGCCUGACGCAGCCAUGCCGCGUGAAUGAUGAAGGUCUUAGGAUUGUAAAAUUCUUUCACCGGGGAAGAUAAUGACGGUACCCGGAGAAGAAGCCCCGGCUAACUUCGUGCCAGCAGCCGCGGUAAUACGAAGGGGGCUAGCGUUGCUCGGAAUUACUGGGCGUAAAGGGCGCGUAGGCGGAUAGCUAAGUCAGAGGUGAAAGCCCAGGGCUCAACCUUGGAAAUGCCUUUGAUACUGGCUGUCUUGAGUUCGGGAGAGGUGAGUGGAAUGCCGAGUGUAGAGGUGAAAUUCGUAGAUAUUCGGCGGAACACCAGUGGCGAAGGCGACUCACUGGCCCGAUACUGACGCUGAGGCGCGAAAGCGUGGGGAGCAAACAGGAUUAGAUACCCCGGUAGUCC